rnacentral:snRNA from 1 species
GCAUGUGAGGGCCAUCUGGCUGCAACAUCCGUUACCCCAUGGAUCACCAGGGUUGAUUCAGCUAAUCUGGACAGCUAGGUGGUGUCUCCUUCCUCCCUCACUGUUCCAAGCGUGUCCCACCCAAAAGCUGUGCAUUUGGUCAAAGAGGACGACUGUCCUCAAAUAUAAGACCCUUCUUCAGUUAAGGGUAUACGAGCCCCCCUGCUAGAACCUCCAAACAAGCUCUCAUAAGGAGGUCGGUGCCUCAUGCCACUUAGUGUGCCUACCAUCUCUUGAGAGCGGCUAUGCCAGGGAUGAGGGCCUUACACUGGGGCCCUAUGAGCUUUUUAAG